UACGAAGGGUGCAAGCGUUGCUCGGAAUUAUUGGGCGUAAAGGGUAGGUAGGUGGUCUUGUUUGUCUGGGGUGAAAUCCUUGGGCUUAACCUAAGAAGUGCCUCAGAAACGGCAAGACUAGAGUACUGGAGAGGGUCGUGGAAUUCCCGGUGUAGCGGUGAAAUGCGUAGAGAUCGGGAGGAACACCAGAGGCGAAGGCGGCGACCUGGACAGUAACUGACACUCAACUACGAAAGCGUGGGGAGCAAACAGG
rnacentral:rRNA from 1 species